GCCCCGAUGGUGAAAUUGGUAGACACAGCAGACUUAAAAUCUGCCGUCCUUUACCGGACGUACCGGUUCGAUUCCGGUUCGGGGCACCA
rnacentral:tRNA from 1 species